rnacentral:lncRNA from 1 species
GGAGAGAAUGAGCUUGGAGCCGCAGGGCUUAAUCCCGCGCGGCUCAGAGAUGGGUUUCUGGACUCGCGAAGCAGCUGCAACAAGGCAUCACUCACUGUAUAAGUAUUUCCAUUUCUGAGAGCAAAAGGAAGAACUUAAGCGGGCGGCACUUGGAGUGUAAAUUGCUUUGUAGUAUUUAAAGGCAGAAUGGAUCCUGGGCAGCCGAGCUGCAACAAACCGGCAGGACUUCCUGUGAAAUCAUGACCACCAUGUGCUCUUUCAGCCUCUAUCAGUUCCUACCUCUAAGCACCUGAGAGCCAAAGCAAACCACAGGAAACCACAGACUCAAACUAAACGUCAGCUUUUCCCGGCUCUCAAGCCUGCUGGUCCCUGAACUAAAACUCACAUUAUCAACUCUACUGGUUCUUAGGCCUUUGGAGUCAGACUGGAACUACAGCAUUGACUCUUCCGGAACUCCAGCUUACUGACUACAGAUCUUGGAACUUUUCAGCUUCCACAACCAUCUUCUUUGGACCUUUUAAGUUGCAUUAUCCCAUAAAAUGUGGUGGAUUCAAUGUUGUAUGGCCUGUAAAACUAAGUAAUGAAGGCUGAUAUGUACCCACCUGGCUCUGUCUUGGGAUCACACAACUUGGGAGCCAAAACAGGUAUAAUUGUGAUCUCUUCCCAGGAAAAAGAAUGAGACUUGGCUGUUCUAAAAAACUACAGCUUGUCCUGUGGAGAACUGUGAUUACUUCUGAUGGAAAAUGACAGGCUGAAUGCCAGAAGGCAAAGCAACUGUUUUCCUAAGAGUCUUAAGACCCUGAAGGACUUGUGCCUCCUUUGGUGAUCUAGGGGAUAAAGAAGUGGAAUGGAAAUGGAGAGGAAUAGCUGGAACAAAAAGGCAAAGAGGUAUAAUCUAUCAUAAAUAUGCCGCCUUUAUAAGCAUGUGUGUACCAAAAAAAAGCCACAAACCAUAUAAAGUGAGCCUAUAUUAGAAAUAGAAGUAUUUUAUGAAAUAAUAUAUUUAAAAUUUCCAGUAAACAGAAUAUAAAUUUUUCCCAAAUACCCAUAAUAUAUUUACAAUAUUAGAAAAAAAUGCAAGCAGAAUUUAUGUAAAUUAUAUUAAUGGAAUUAACGGAAUAAAAUUAGAAGUUAAAAUUAAAAAUAGCCAAAA